AGUGAACGCUGGCGGUAGGCCUAACACAUGCAAGUCGGACGGCAGCACAGGAGAGCUUGCUCUCUGGGUGGCGAGUGGCGGACGGGUGAGGAAUACAUCGGAAUCUACUCUGUCGUGGGGGAUAACGUAGGGAAACUUACGCUAAUACCGCAUACGACCUACGGGUGAAAGCAGGGGACCUUCGGGCCUUGCGCGAUUGAAUGAGCCGAUGUCGGAUUAGCUAGUUGGCGGGGUAAAGGCCCACCAAGGCGACGAUCCGUAACUGGUCUGAGAGGAUGAUCAACCACACUGGAACUGAGACACGGUCCAGACUCCUACGGGAGGCAGCAGUGGGGAAUAUUGGACAAUGGGCGCAAGCCUGAUCCAGCCAUACCGCGUGGGUGAAGAAGGCCUUCGGGUUGUAAAGCCCUUUUGUUGGGAAAGAAAUCCAGCUGGCUAAUACCCGGUUGGGAUGACGGUACCCAAAGAAUAAGCACCGGCUGACUUCGUGCCAGCCGCCGCCGUAA
rnacentral:rRNA from 1 species